UGCUGAUAGUUGAUUAAAAUUAGGUGGAAUCGCCCUUUAUCCAUUUCCUGAGUCAGAAGCUUCAAUCAGAAACCAACUUCAUCUUCGUCUGAAAAAAUCCAGACAACUGAGUUUUUCUCUGAGCUCAACAGGCUGCAGGUUCUUCAGGACAUGAAUAUUCUGGUCCCAGACAUCAGAACCAGCAGAGACUGCAGCACAUGAAUCUGAAGCAGGUUGUUAGGAGAGGUUCUCCACAAGCUCAGACUAAAGGUUCACAGUCUGACAGAGAUGGACAGAGAAAGUCGACCAACUCUGGAUGAAAUGGUUCCUAGAAACAGGGAAGUUUUCUGUGGACUUGACUGCCUGAUCAUAUGGAGCUGCAGCACAUGCAGGAGUUUGAUGUUGGCAGGAAGAAAAACAAAAAGGAAGCAAGUGAUGAGUUUCCAUUUUAGUGUCAUUUCCACUAAUGGAGCAAAUUCCAAGUCAGUCGUCCUCCAAACCACUGAGAGCAGCUUAGAGGAAAACCUGAGUUUGUUGUGACAGUCAGACUCUAUCAGGAUGACCACAGUCUUCUGGCAGAGUUCCUGGACAUUAAGGAGACAUAAAUAAUAGAAAGAUAAUUCAUUAACAGUCCUGCAGUAAAUACUGACUUUGUGAAGGUUUUGGUGUUAAAGUCAUUUUGUUCAGACAUUUUGAUUCAGCUCUUAUUUUGUAGGACCGGAAGUGAGAUCUUACCUUUGUAAUGUUUUAUAUUCAACAAGUUUCAUCAGUUCACUGAAAUCAUUCUCAUGUUUUACCUGGAAAAUAGAUUUAAAAUGGUUCAUCUUCACAAUCCUGUUGUUCCUUUAUGAUAAUGUUCCCGUUUCUGCAGCAUCUCUGAUGAAGGAUUCAGAACUUGAACUAAAUGACCCUCAUCAAUCUGACAGAGAAAAUACUCAAUAUUUUCUAGUUGAUAGUUCAGUAACUGAAUCAGCACAAAAUGA